GAGGAGUGGCGGACGGGUGAGUAACACGUGGGUAACCUACCCAUCAGAGGGGGAUAACACUUGGAAACAGGUGCUAAUACCGCAUAACAGUUUAUGCCGCAUGGCAUAAGAGUGAAAGGCGCUUUCGGGUGUCGCUGAUGGAUGGACCCGCGGUGCAUUAGCUAGUUGGUGAGGUAACGGCUCACCAAGGCCACGAUGCAUAGCCGACCUGAGAGGGUGAUCGGCCACACUGGGACUGAGACACGGCCCAGACUCCUACGGGAGGCAGCAGUAGGGAAUCUUCGGCAAUGGACGAAAGUCUGACCGAGCAACGCCGCGUGAGUGAAGAAGGUUUUCGGAUCGUAAA
rnacentral:rRNA from 1 species